CGAAAUGCGAUAAGUAAUGUGAAUUGCAGAAUUCAGUGAAUCAUCGAAUCUUUGAACGCACCUUGCGCUCCUUGGUAUUCCUUGGAGCAUGCCUGUUUGAGUAUCAUGAAAUCUUCAAAGUAAAUCUUUUGUUAACUCAAUUGGCUUCUACUUUGGUAUUGGAGGUCUUUGCAGCUUCACACCUGCUCCUCUUUGUUCAUUAGCUGGAUCUCAGUGUUAUGCUUGGUUCCACUCGGCGUGAUAAGUUAUCUAUCGCUGAGGACACUGUAAAAGGUGGCCAAGGUAAAUGCAGAUGAACCGCUUCUAAUAGUCCAUUGACUUGGACAAUACUUUUAUGAUCUGAUCUCAAAUCAGGUAGGACUACCCGCUGAACUUAAGC
rnacentral:misc_RNA from 1 species